rnacentral:rRNA from 1 species
GACGAACGCUGGCGGCGUGCUUAACACAUGCAAGUCGAACGGAAAGGCCCUGCUUUUGUGGGGUGCUCGAGUGGCGAACGGGUGAGUAACACGUGAGUAACCUGCCCUUGACUUUGGGAUAACUUCAGGAAACUGGGGCUAAUACCGGAUAGGAGCUCCUGCUGCAUGGUGGGGGUUGGAAAGUUUCGGCGGUUGGGGAUGGACUCGCGGCUUAUCAGCUUGUUGGUGGGGUAGUGGCUUACCAAGGCUUUGACGGGUAGCCGGCCUGAGAGGGUGACCGGCCACACUGGGACUGAGAUAAGGCCCAGACUCCUACGGGAGGCAGCAGUGGGGAAGAUUGCACAAUGGGCGGAAGCCGGAUGCAGCAACGCCGCGUGCGGGAUGACGGCCUUCGGGUUGUAAACCGCUUUCGCCUGUGACGAAGCGUGAGUGACGGUAAUGGGUAAAGAAGCACCGGCUAACUACGUG